AAAUUCUCUCCUCCCAACUCUUUCUCUUCUCCUUCAUUUCUCACUCCGUGAAAUAUUACUCAUCCAUCAAACCAAGAAAAUGAAGCAAAAAAUAGUAAUUAAGGUGGCAAUGCACCAUGAUAAAUGUCGCUCCAAGGCCCUGAAAAUCGUUGUUGCCACAACAGGGGUUGAGUCGGCGGCAUUAACCGGAGAAGGGAAGGAUCAGGUGGAGGUGGUGGGAGAUGGGAUAGAUUCCGUGAAGCUA